GACGAACGCUGGCGGCGUGCCUAAUACAUGCAAGUUGAGCGAUGAAGAUUGGUGCUUGCACCAAUUUGAAGAGCAGCGAACGGGUGAGUAACGCGUGGGGAAUCUGCCUUUGAGCGGGGGACAACAUUUGGAAACGAAUGCUAAUACCGCAUAACAACUUUAAACAUAAGUUUUAAGUUUGGAAGAUGCAAUUGCAUCACUCAAAGAUGAUCCCGCGUUGUAUUAGCUAGUUGGUGAGGUAAAGGCUCACCAAGGCGAUGAUACAUAGCCGACCUGAGAGGGUGAUCGGCCACAUUGGGACUGAGACACGGCCCAAACUCCUACGGGAGGCAGCAGUAGGGAAUCUUCGGCAAUGGACGAAAGUCUGACCGAGCAACGCCGCGUGAGUGAAGAAGGUUUUCGGAUCGUAAAACUCUGUUGGUAGAGAAGAACGUUGGUGAGAGUGGAAAGCUCAUCAAGUGACGGUAACUACCCAGAAAGGGACGGCUAACUACGUG
rnacentral:rRNA from 1 species